UAGGGAAUCUUGCGCAAUGGGCGAAAGCCUGACGCAGCGACGCCGCGUGCGGGAAGAAGGCCUUCGGGUUGUAAACCGCUUUCAGGAGGGACGAAGCCACUCGGGUUAAUAGCCCAGAGGGUGACGGUACCUCCAGAAGAAGCCCCGGCUAACUACGUGCCAGCAGCCGCGGUAAUACGUAGGGGGCAAGCGUUGUCCGGAUUCAUUGGGCGUAAAGAGCGUGUAGGCGGCCAGGUAGGUCAGCUGUGAAAACUGGAGGCUCAACCUUCAGACGUCGGCUGAAACCAUCUGGCUAGAGUCCGGGAGAGGAGAGUGGAAUUCCUGGUGUAGCGGUGAAAUGCGCAGAUAUCAGGAAGAACACCCGUGGCGAAAGCGGCUCUCUGGAACGGUACUGACGCUGAGACGCGAAAGCGUGGGGAGCGAACAGGAUUAGAUACCCUGGUAGUCCACGCCGUAAACGAUGGGCGCUAGGUGUGGGAGGUGUCGACUCCUUCCGUGCCGAAG
rnacentral:rRNA from 1 species